UACGGGGGGGCAAGCGUUGUUCGGAAUUACUGGGCGUAAAGGGCGCGUAGGCGGUGCUCUAAGUCGGAUGUGAAAACUCUGGGCUCAACCCAGAGCCUGCAUCCGAAACUGGAGUGCUAGAGUUCUGGAGGGGGUAGCGGAAUUCCUGGUGUAGCGGUGAAAUGCGUAGAUAUCAGGAGGAACACCGGUGGCGAAGGCGGCUACCUGGACAGAAACUGACGCUGAGGCGCGAAAGCUAGGGGAGCAAACAGG
rnacentral:rRNA from 1 species